rnacentral:rRNA from 1 species
GACGAACGCUGGCGGCGUGCUUAACACAUGCAAGUCGAGCGGUAAGGCCCUUUCGGGGGUACACGAGCGGCGAACGGGUGAGUAACACGUGGGUGACCUGCCCUCAGCUCUGGGAUAAGCCUGGGAAACUGGGUCUAAUACUGGAUAUGACUCCACGGUGCAUGUCGUGGGGUGGAAAGCCUUGUGCGGCUGAGGAUGGGCCCGCGGCCUAUCAGCUUGUUGUGGGGUGANGGCCUACCAAGGCGACGACGGGUAGCCGGCCUGAGAGGGCGACCGGCCACACUGGGACUGAGACACGGCCCAGACUCCUACGGGAGGCAGCAGUGGGGAAUCUUGCGCAAUGGGCGAAAGCCUGACGCAGCGACGCCGCGUGAGGGA